rnacentral:rRNA from 1 species
AGCGAACGCUGGCGGCAGGCUUAACACAUGCAAGUCGAGCGGGCGUAGCAAUACGUCAGCGGCAGACGGGUGAGUAACGCGUGGGAACAUACCUCUUGGUUCGGAACAACACAGGGAAACUUGUGCUAAUACCGGAUAAGCCCUUACGGGGAAAGAUUUAUCGCCGAGAGAUUGGCCCGCGUCUGAUUAGCUAGUUGGUAGGGUAAUGGCCUACCAAGGCGACGAUCAGUAGCUGGUCUGAGAGGAUGAUCAGCCACAUUGGGACUGAGACACGGCCCAAACUCCUACGGGAGGCAGCAGUGGGGAAUAUUGGACAAUGGGGGCAACCCUGAUCCAGCCAUGCCGCGUGAGUGAUGAAGGCCCUAGGGUUGUAAAGCUCUUUUGUGCGGGAAGAUAAUGACGGUACCGCAAGAAUAAGCCCCGGCUAACUUCGUGC